AAUGCAGUCCCAUUCCAGGCCAGACAGCACAUGCUCUUCCAACAACAGGCAUGUCACUGGGCUGGAGACAGACACGGCAAGACCCCUGCGGCCACCCAGCAGUGCAGCCCGGAGAUGGCAUCUCGGUGGAAGCCCUCCAGGGCCAGCCUCCCUCGGGACGCUCAGAACAGCCCGAUGAUGUGAGCGAAGCAGCUGCCAUGGUCUGCCUUUCACAGCCGACGAACCAAGGCCAGAGGUAUUAGGGCACAGCUGUGGGGCACAGCGAAGGACCCUAUAACCUAAGACCAAAGAGAGGCAAGAUGACAAAGCCGGGACAGGAAGCCCAGGCUUCUCUCUGCUCGUUCUCCCUCAUCUGUGACGCGGGCCUGCUGAGAAACACCACGUUCUCCAAGACUGGGGUCAAACACCGGGCACCCCCCUCUCCUCCAUCCCUUUCAUAAAUCUUUACUGCCCA